ensembl:lncRNA
CUCACACACACACACACACUCACAAACACACACACCACUCACACACGCACAAACACACUCACACACACACACACACACACACACACACACCAUCCAUCCAUUAGAGUAGUACCUGUGUAGCUCAGGGCUAAUCUGCUCUUUCCAGGCAGACCUCCUCUCCUUUGUCCUCUCUCUCUCUCUCUCUCUCUACUUCUUUGAUAUGCUAGGUCCUCCCUCUCUCUGUCAGGAUGUUUUCUCUCUCAUUAUGUAGUUAAUUCUGUGUAGUUCUGUCAUUAUGUAGUUCUGUCGGGGUGUAGUUUUGUCAGGUGUAGUUCUGUCAUUAUGUAGUUCUGUCAGGGUGUAGUUCUGUCAGGGUGUAGCUCUGUCAGGGUGUAGUUAUGUCAGGGUGUAGUUAUGUCAGGGUGUAGUUAUGUCAGGUGUAGUUCUGUCAGGUGUAGUUCCGUCGUGGUGUAGUUCUGUCAGGGUGUAGUUCUGUGAGGGUGUAGCUCUGUCAGGGUGUAGUUAUGUCAGGGUGUUUUCUCUCUCAUUAUGUAGUUAUGUCAGGGUGUUGUUCUGUCAGGGUGUAGCUCUGUCAGGGUGUAGUUAUGUCAUUAUGUAGUUCUGUCGGGUGUAGUUCUGUCGGGGUGUAGCUCUGUCGGGGUGUAGUUAUUUCAGGGUGUAGUUAUGUCAUUAUGUAGUUCUGUCAGGGUGUAGUUCUGUCAGGGUGUAGUUCUGUCAGGGUGUAGUUCUGUCAGGGUGUUUUCUCUCUCAUUAUGUAGUUCUGUCAGGGUGUAGUUCUGUCAGGGUGUUUUCUCUCUCAUUAUGUAGUUCUGUCAGGGUGUAGUUCUGUUAGCGUGUCAGGGAUAUUCACAUCCUCUUCCCAGGAUGAGACAUCCCAUAAUAUAAGAGAUGAAACAGCUUGUAAACCGUAAACCACAGGACUCAGUAAACCACAGGACUCAGACACAUCAAGACGAAGUGACCUCUAAAGAGAGGAAGAGGAGGUCAACUCUAAAGAGAGGAAGAGGUGAACUCUAAAGAGAGGAAGAGGAGGUGAACUCUAAAGAGAGGAAGAGGAGGUCAACUCUAAAGAGAGGAAGAGGAAGUGAACUCUAAAGAGAGGAAGAGGAGGUGAACUCUAAAGAGAGGAAGAGGAGGUCAACUCUAAAGAGAGGAAGAGGAAGUGAACUCUAAAGAGAGGAAGA